rnacentral:rRNA from 1 species
GACGAACGCUGGCGGCGUGCCUAAUACAUGCAAGUUGAGCGCUGAAGGUUGGUACUUGUACCAACUGGAUGAGCAGCGAACGGGUGAGUAACGCGUGGGGAAUCUGCCUUUGAGCGGGGGACAACAUUUGGAAACGAAUGCUAAUACCGCAUAAAAACUUUAAACACAAGUUUUAAGUUUGAAAGAUGCAAUUGCAUCACUCAAAGAUGAUCCCGCGUUGUAUUAGCUAGUUGGUGAGGUAAAGGCUCACCAAGGCGAUGAUACAUAGCCGACCUGAGAGGAUGAUCGGCCACAUUGGGACUGAGACACGGCCCAAACUCCUACGGGAGGCAGCAGUAGGGAAUCGUCGGCAAGGGACGAAAGUCUGACCGAGCAACGCCGCGGGAGUGAAGAAGGUUUUCGGAUCGUAAAACUCGGUUGGUAGAGAAGAACGUUGGUGAGAGUGGAAAGCUCAUCAAGUGACGGUAACUACCCAGAAAGGGACGGCUAACUACGUG